GAUGAACGCUGGCGGCGUGCCUAACACAUGCAAGUCGAGCGACAGCGAGAGGUGCUUGCACCCUGUCGGCGAGCGGCGGACGGCUGAGUAACACGUGGGUACGUGCCCUAUAGGGAGGAGUAACUUCCCGAAAGGGUAGCUAAUACCGCGUAUUAUCUUCGGAUCAAAGGAUUUAUCCGUUUUGGGAGCUGUUCGCGUCGGAUAUAGUAGUUUGUGAGGUAAUUUCUCACGAAGCCGACGAAACGUAGCUGGUCUGAGAGGAUGACUAGCCAGACUGGAACGGAGCCACGGUAGAGAAUCCUACGGGAGGCAGGAGUGCGGAACGUUCCAACAUCGGCGGAAGGAUGAUGGAGCAACGAUGCGUGAAGGAUGAAGGUAUUCGGGUUGUAAUCUGCUUGUAUAAGUGAGGAAUAUGACGGUAACUAAUGAAUAAGGAUCGGCUAACUACGUG
rnacentral:rRNA from 1 species